UACAGAGGGGGCAAGCGUUGUUCGGAAUUACUGGGCGUAAAGGGCGCGUAGGCGGCCUUCUAAGUCGAACGUGAAAUCCCCAGGCUCAACUUGGGGCGUGCAGUGGGUACGGGCAGACUAGAGUGCGGUAGGGGAGACUGGAAUUCCUGGUGUAGCGGUGGAAUGCGCAGAUAUCAGGAGGAACACCGAUGGCGAAGGCAGGUCUCUGGGCCGUUACUGACGCUGAGGAGCGAAAGCAUGGGGAGCGAACAGG
rnacentral:rRNA from 1 species